GGCCUUGUAGCUCAGUUGGCUAGAGCGUUGGCUGUGCCAAAGCCUUCCUCUUGCUGGCGUGGGUUCAAAUCCCACCGAUGCCA
rfam:Schistocephalus solidus strain NST_G2 genome assembly, scaffold: SSLN_contig0000481